CUAGUCUCUCAUAGAAACUUCUGGCCUCUGGACACUGUGGGAGCAACUUUUCCUUUAUUAGACUGUCUCCUCUUUAACUGUACCUAGAAGAUACUUUAGCACAGCAAGCAUCUCUUUUAUGCUUACAUUAUGCAGUUAUGCAGACUUGGUGUACGUCCUUCAAGGACAGUCUAAGAAUCUUUGAUUCUAUUUCUGCUGGAUACAUUGUUGCAGAGAUGUAAGAAGGAAGGACUUAGAAAAGAGAUAGACCAGUGCAAUGGACCUCAUAACCACAUACAAUCUAGUUUUAUGGGGAAACUCCUUGUAUAAAAGAAUAUUGCAGCAUGACUGGGAAGCCUGUCCUUCAUUACUUCAAUUGAAGAAGAAGAAUGGAGUCCAUCCGGUGGCUCCUGGCAGCAGCUGGAGUAGAGUUUGAGGAAGAACUUUUUGAAACCCAUGAAGAGUUUGAGAAGUUAAUCCAAGGUGGAACCCUGAUGUACGAGCAAGUGCCCAUGGUGGAAAUCGAUGGAAUGACUUUGGUGCAGACCAGUGCCAUCUUAAGAUAUGUAGCUGCAAAAUAUGACUUGUAUGGAAGGAACCUGGAGGAACAAGCCUGAAGAGAAGGAGAUGAACCUUGAAUACAUCCUCCACCGAGCUACAACAAGAUUCUUCCCCGUUUAUGAGAAGGCCCUGAGAGACCACGGGCAAGACUUUCUUGUGGGCAAUCGGCUGAGCUUGGCUGAUGUCCAGCUCCUUGAAGUCAUCUUAAUGGCUGAAGAAUGCAAAGCCAGUGUUCUCUCGGGUUUCCCUCUGCUACAGGACUUCAAGGUGAGAACCAGCCAAAUUCCUACAAUUAACAGCUUCCUCCAACCUGGAAGCCAGAGGAAGCCUCCUUUGGAGGAGCGAUCCAUUGGGACUGCAAAGGACAUAUUCAAAUUUGAAUGAGGACUGUUUCUUAAAAACAUGAGCAAUAUAGUAGCUGAGUAUUAACAGCUACAGAGGCUGGAGUUACUCAGUAAGUAUACUGAGUAACUUGACACUGCAUUCAUAAAAAGACACUCACUAAGUAUAUGGCCAGAGAAAUAUCCUGAAGUUAGUAAUAAAUGUUAGGAAUCUUAGUAUGUUAGCAAUGUUAGAAUGUUAGUAAUGGAAAUAUUAAAUGUGUAAGAGAAAAACUACUAGAAGCUUAUCAAUAAACUACAAGAACCAACUCUUGUUUGAAGUAAGACAGGCUACCAAGACAGAAUUCAGAAAAUCCAAGGAGCCCUCGGCCUUCUGUAUGAUCCUAGAAUAAACUUGUAUGUAGCAAGUGAAA
rnacentral:lncRNA from 1 species